ACCAGAAGAACGAAAUUGUCCCUCCGUUUUAUCGACACUCCACUCUCCUGUCUCUCGUAGCUUCUUCUCCACCGGUCCCUCAAAUGCACCACCAGAAUUCGGCAACAGACCCUUAAAAAUAGUGUCCCUAUCCCUCUGCUCCGAGCCCAUGGGUUCAGAAUCGCGAUAACUGCCGGCGCCAACGGCACAUUCAAUCUGGAAAAGGGUGAGGCGCUGUUGGAGUUUGGAUUGGCGGCGUUUCGUUCUGGUUUUUGAUUUAGUAGUGGGAAUUGGAGGCUUGCUUUUGUUACUGUGAGAAGGAGUGGUGUUGGAGUGUGGAGGUGAGUGCGGAGGUGGAGAGCCGUCAAUAUUGCUGGAAAAAGCAGCAAAAACCAGUUGCCUGCUCACGCAACGGCAGGAUAAGCAAGCCAUGGCGAGCCUCAC
rnacentral:misc_RNA from 1 species